AGCUUCUCGGCAGCGUGACCUAAACCCUCCCUGCUGGCUCCUUGGCAGAGCCUGGAGGAGAGGGAAAAUGCCAGUCUCAGCACUAGGCCUACCCAGCCUGCACUCUGCCUUAUGCUUUUAUCGCAGCUGGCUCCGGGUGAGAUGAUCAUUUCUCAACUGAAAGGGAAUUGGGGGUGGCCUGGGAACCAGGCAGGACCCUCCUGCCACUCACAAUGUCCUUGCUCCAAUUUCAUAGAUUAAGAGAGAGACGCUGGGAAGCUAGAUCAUCUGCGAAUGAGGAUAGUCCAGACUCUGCACAUGGCUGCUGGGCCGUGAUUGCUCCAUGUCAUCACUGGGCUCACCAUGACAGAGAGGACACCCUCAUCAUGGUCUGGUCAAAAUUAUGCAGAGGAAUGCACCAAUGCAUGGGUUUUGAUUAAAGAAAGCAAAGGGAUCUCCAAAGUGACAUCCAUGUGUCAUUCAGGGGAAGGUUGCUGCCAUGACUUGAAGAUGCCCAUGUAGCCUGUGGACAGGCUCACAUGGUGAGGAACUGAGGGCCCCUGUCCACAACCAUGUGAGUGAGCCAGGUUGGAAGCGGAUCCUUCAGCACCAGUAAAGCCUUCAGAGACUGCAGCUCUGACCCACAUUCUGAAUGCAACUACAUGAGAUACCCUGCUGGAAAUACCCUGCUAAGCUGCUUCUGGAUUUCUGAACCAGAUAAAACUGUGCGAUAAUAAAUGGUUAUUGUUUGAAGCCA